AUUGAACGCUGGCGGCAGGCCUAACACAUGCAAGUCGAGCGGGGUUUUCGGACCUAGCGGCGGACGGGUGAGUAAUGCGUAGGAAGCUACCCGAUAGAGGGGGAUACCAGUUGGAAACGACUGUUAAUACCGCAUAAUGUCUACGGACCAAAGUGUGGGACCUUCGGGCCACAUGCUAUCGGAUGCGCCUACGUGGGAUUAGCUAGUUGGUGAGGUAAUGGCUCACCAAGGCGACGAUCUCUAGCUGGUUUGAGAGGAUGAUCAGCUACACUGGAACUGAGACACGGUCCAGACUCCUACGGGAGGCAGCAGUGGGGAAUAUUGGACAAUGGGCGAAAGCCUGAUCCAGCCAUGCCGCGUGUGUGAAGAAGGCCUUCGGGUUGUAAAGCACUUUCAGUAGGGAGGAAGCGUUGUGUGUUAAUAGUACACAGCGUUGACGUUACCUACAGAAGAAGCACCGGCUAACUCUGUGCCAGCCGCCGCAGUAAAAC
rnacentral:rRNA from 1 species